rnacentral:rRNA from 1 species
GCCAGACUCCUACGGGAGGCAGCAGUGGGGAAUAUUGGGCAAUGGGCGCAAGCCUGACCCAGCAACGCCGCGUGAAGGAAGAAGGCUUUCGGGUUGUAAACUUCUUUUAAGAGGGACGAAACAAAUGACGGUACCUCUUGAAUAAGCCACGGCUAACUACGUGCCAGCAGCCGCGGUAAUACGUAGGUGGCAAGCGUUAUCCGGAUUUAUUGGGUGUAAAGGGCGUGUAGGCGGGAAAGCAAGUCAGAUGUGAAAACUAUGGGCUCAACCCAUAGCCUGCAUUUGAAACUGUUUUUCUUGAGUGCUGGAGAGGCAAUCGGAAUUCCGUGUGUAGCGGUGAAAUGCGUAGAUAUACGGAGGAACACCAGUGGCGAAGGCGACUUUCUGGACUGUAUCUGACGCUGAGGCGCGAAAGCGUGGGUAGCGAACGGGAUUAGAUACCCUCGUAU